rnacentral:rRNA from 1 species
UACGGAGGGGGCUAGCGUUGUUCGGAAUCAUUGGGCGUAAAGGGCGCGUAGGCGGCCGAUCAAGUCGGAGGUGAAAUCCCUCGGCUCAACUGAGGAAUUGCCUUCGAUACUGUUCGGCUUGAGUCCUGGAGAGGGUAGCGGAAUUCCCGGUGUAGCGGUGAAAUGCGUAGAGACCGGGAAGAACACCAGUGGCGAAGGCGGCUACCUGGACAGGUACUGACGCUGAAGCGCGAAAGCUAGGGGAGCAAAC